AAUUUGAACAUGUAGAAAUGAUAAAAAAUAAUAAGCAAGCAGAAUAUUGACAAGAAGGUGAGGGGUAACAUUUCUAAUGAAUCUGUGCUUUUCUUUAGGCAUUCGAAAAAUGGAAAGAAAGAAAAGUGGAAUAUUUAAGAGAACAAAGCAGAAAGGAAAAACAGUCUGAAAGAAUUAGGAAGAAAAAAGAAGAGGAACUGGUUGCAGAGAAGAAGAGAGAAAGCAUGUCAGCAGUUGAAAAAUGGUACUGCCCCACUGGGUUUUGGAAUAUCAUAGUUUCCCAAAUCUUUGCUUACAAAUGCAAUAGAUCUGUGAGUGCUUGAUGUGCUUUUAAAUGGGACACGAUGGCGUGCUUGGGAUCAGGUGCUUCAGUCCUGAUGGAGAACAAGUAUAACCAUGAGAACAAGCUAUAGAGCUUCUUUCAGUUUAGUGACUUAUAUGCCUUCCCUCUCAAAAGGCUACUGCAGAGAUACUGCAACUGACAAAGUCAGGUUCAAUGAGUAGUAUAAUGUCUCAUGCUUCAUUACUAAGCCGUAGGAAGGAAGGUAAGUCUUUAUCUUAAAAGUUUUGUGGAAUACAAUGUAUGAAUGUAGAUGUAGUCAGAAGCAAAUGACAUGUCUGCUGGAGAAAUUGUUUCUUAGUUUUACAAGCCAAGAGUUCUCACAGACCAUGUGCAACUUACUAUUACCCACAGAAACUUUGAAUCUUAUUUUUUAUAUGAUACCAAAUGAAGAGGAAAGUAGUACAGAAAAGGUGAUGCUGUAAUAGAAUAGUAGGUUCAUUUAUACAUUCAUUACAGGUGGACUUCAAAGAUUUUUAAAUAAUGUAUUCUUGAUCUUUUAUUAAACGUGAAUAUCUCUUUUCACCCAAUUUAGUUAUUAGUCACAGAUGCAGCAUUAGUCUGUUACAUGAUGAUCUCCUUUUCACUACACAGGAAUGAAAGGAAGGAAGAAUAUAUAAAACAGAAGAAAAUAGAAAAAACUGUAGAGAGAAGAAACCAAGAAAUACAACAGGCAAAGAAGGAAGAAAAAAGUAAAAAGGCUAUGGAGGAAUAUGAAAGAUGGCUGGAAAAGAAAGAGAGGAGAGAGCAGCUUGAGAAGAAGAAAAAGAAUUUGCAGGCUGUCCAUGGGAAUGAAGUGCUUUCUCCCUGGAGUCCACCUGGCAAAGUCACAUAUUCAAGGAAUUACUGAGCAGUCUGUUGCCUUCUGUGAGAAAAGAUGAUCCACGUUCUGACAAUAGCUCAUCGUUAUUUCAAGAACAGCUGAUUUUCACUGAAUGCAUUAUAGAUGUUGCAUCCUUUCUUUUUGGUUUAUUUGAUCUCUGCACUUUAAAUAGAUUGGUUGUCCCUUUCCACUGCUUUAGAAUAUGUACUAAUUUUUGUAAUUCCUCCUUUAACUUAGUUUUGCUGAAUCCUGUGUUACUUUGUUCCUUUUUGGUGAAAGUGUAUGUUCAGGAUACCUAAGGCUGGACUCUCGCAUUUUUUUUCACCCAAUAAGUAGCAGAAUGGUUGCUUUUAAGUUAAUAGGCCACACUGCUGGGGAGUUAAGUCUGGAAGAAAUGCUUUGGGUGAGGGGAUGAUGGGCAGGGAGAUGUUGGCUCUCUUGUGGUGAUAGGAAGAAGACAAAAGGCUAAGCAGUAUAGUAGGGGGACUUCAUUUUUGUACAUGAAGAGGCAAGCUAGAGGGAACAUAUAAUUCUUAGAUUAUGUUACGUUAUUAAAUAUAAAAACAGCUUUUAAAUUAAAACUGUGUCAGGCAGAAAGAAGAUUUCAUGGGGCCAAAACCAGCCAUGUGAUGGUACAAAAGAGACUAGAAUCCAUAUAGUGUAAAAUGAUCCAGGACUAAGUAAGACUGUAGCUGUUCAUUCCAUUUCAGGUCUUCAUAUACAUUCCUUAGAUUUCCUGCUUCCUACAGGAAACUGUUUUUAGAGGCAUGUUUUUCAGUUCACGUAAAAUCUUACAUAAAAACUGCAAGGUCAGAACAGCGGUACUCCUAUGAGGCAAGUUUAGACACUGAAAAUUAUUUUUUGGGAGCUUAAUUUAAAGGCUUCUGUGAUGUUUUUUACGUGAUCAAGUAAAUCCUUCCCAAACCUGUUUUCAUCAUUGCUAAUGAGCUAGUUGCUGAGGUACAUGAUUAAAAUUUAUUCUGUUUUUUCAUGGCUCUUGUCUUGCUAUUUUGGAAACAAUGGCAAG
ensembl:lncRNA